CUCCUACGGGAGGCAGCAGUGGGGAAUUUUGGACAAUGGGCGCAAGCCUGAUCCAGCCAUGCCGCGUGCAGGAUGAAGGCCUUCGGGUUGUAAACUGCUUUUGUACGGAACGAAAAGACUCCUUCUAAUAAAGGGGGUCCAUGACGGUACCGUAAGAAUAAGCACCGGCUAACUACGUGCCAGCAGCCGCGGUAAUACGUAGGGUGCGAGCGUUAAUCGGAAUUACUGGGCGUAAAGCGUGCGCAGGCGGUUAUAUAAGACAGAUGUGAAAUCCCCGGGCUCAACCUGGGAACUGCAUUUGUGACUGUAUAGCUAGAGUACGGCAGAGGGGGAUGGAAUUCCGCGUGUAGCAGUGAAAUGCGUAGAUAUGCGGAGGAACACCGAUGGCGAAGGCAAUCCCCUGGGCCUGUACUGACGCUCAUGCACGAAAGCGUGGGGAGCAAACAGGAUUAGAUACCCUGGUAGUCCACGCCCUAAACGAUGUCAACUGGUUGUUGGGUCUUCACUGACUCAGUAACGAAGCUAACGCGUGAAGUGACC
rnacentral:rRNA from 1 species